AUGUUUAUAAGUGUCAUUAAACGCUUUUUUUUUUUUUUUUUAAUGCUGACGAGAAGGCAGCGUGUGAGUCAGUAUGCCACCUUUGUUCUGAGGUGGUUCACAUUUGUGGACGGCUUUGGAGUGUGCCUGCCAAAGCAACACCCCGUCUUAGGUGAUAUGGUAGGCCCUGUGCUUGUAGGAAAUGUGCUAUUCCUGGCCACUGGAGAAUUCACAGCUUAGUCAGAGAGACACAUGCAUCCGCGGUUACAGUGCAGGUGGUCAAGUGCUGUCCAUCACAGAAGUGUGUGGAAGGUACAACAGCGGGUCCAGAGGAGGGACACCUAACCCAUCUUGGGCAGAAGGAUGUAGGGAAGUUUCUGACCCAUGGAGGUAAUAAGUGCACACUUUAUUAUUUUUAUUUUUUAAUUUAUUUUAAUUUUUAAAAAAUUAUUUAUUCAUGAGAGAGAGAGAGAGAGAGCAUGAGCAGUGGCGGAAUGGGG
rnacentral:lncRNA from 1 species